CAACAUGAACGCACUCGGCUGAGAAUAAACCACAUCUUGAAUCUACCUCUAACAUCCUUUUUAGCGGCGUACAACACACGACACAAUCGAUUCAUCUUUCGCCACAAGUCACAAGUUCUCGUCUCUCACAAGCCUAAGUUCUUAUGGUUUACUAUCCUAGGGUCUCCUAGGUCCGUCUAAACCAUUUUCUUUAUUCUCUUUAUACUCUGAUACUAUAUUAUCUGUCACGCCCCGAGACCCGCCACUUUGGUCAGAUUCGGACACGCCGACAGACCGUCGAACGGACAGAGUCUCCCCUGUA
rnacentral:lncRNA from 1 species